rnacentral:tRNA from 1 species
ACCAUAAUCGGGAUAGCUCAGUUGGUAGAGCAUAAGACUGUUAAUCUCAGAGUUGUGGGUUCGAGCCCCACAUUGGGCA